UUUAACUUGAUAUAGCUGGUUACUUACCAUUUAUUUUAGGUAAUCAAUUAAUGUUUAUUAAAUAGAGCUACCUGCAAUUAUCUUUUAAAUGACCUCAUUUUGUAAAUAUUUUUUACACCCUUAGCGGAUAGAACUUAAAACUCAAAGAUAAAUAGCUAUGAUAAACUAAGUAUACUAAAAAAUGCUGAUUUUGAAAACACUAAAAAUAAAAACAGUAUAAAUUCAGACUAAAACCAUUCACAAGAAAUGAAGGAUGAACAUACAGUACAACACUUUAAAACAAGGAUUCGGGCGAGAAACCUACAGUAAACCCACGUUAAAUAUACAUCAGUUGAAUGGUAGCCUGAACGACAAAAAUCAAGAUAGACAAGAAAAUUCAGAAUUUAGAAAGUCUACACAGAAUGCAAAGAAGACAAAUUAAAGCAAAGUAAAAUUGAAGCAAAGAAUGUAAGAGUAGUGAAGAAAAGAAUAACCUUUGAAUUCCGAUAAAUGUUGAAGAACAAAUGGUAAAUUGUUCCCGAGCUACCAGUUUAAGCAACUCUUUUAGGUGCGUCAGAAGCUUCUAGCUUUGUCCGGAAGAACCCAAAGGGGAACUCAAAGGGUAAAAAUUAGAAAUAGUCUAAUUACAAUUAGUAAUUUCAAAGAUAAUAAAAAAUUAGUUAC
rnacentral:lncRNA from 1 species